ensembl:lncRNA
CACAUUUAACAAAGAAUCAGAUGUUUUUCCCCCUCACACAACAGAAUUCACACAGUGUCUCUGAAUGUUUCUUAAGAGAUCUUUUAUUGCCAGAUGUUCAUACAUACAGUUGUUGUUAGAGGGGCGAAGACGCAAGAAAAGCUCACCGAGUCUGGAUGUGCUUGUGUCCAAGUCCUACACUGACUUACAGUACAGCAGUGGGGGAGAAGGAGAUAAUAUAGCCAAUCACAGAAAACAUGGGCUUGCAUCCCAAAUGGCACCCUAUUCCCUACACAGUGCACUACUUUUGGACUGGGUCCUGGUAAAAAAAGAAGAAGAAGAAGAAGUAGUGCACUCUAUAGGGAAUAGGGUGCCAUUUGGGACACACACCAUGUUUUAUUGAGUGCAAUGUAAUGAAAGGCUGCUGAAGGUUCCAUAGGAGUACUAGGGGCUGAAGCGUUACAGAUCAUUUCAGAUUGAGCCGACAUAUGCAGUGUUUACCAUGAAUGCAGUCUAUGCUAAUGCAGGAACAUUUUCAAUCACGCUAAAACGCUGAACUUCAGCGAUACAGAUUGAAUCCAGUCCUAGGUGGUUACAUCGACCACUCGGUCUAUCCUAAUGUGUUUCAAGUCAUGUGCAGAAGAAAAACAAUAAAACAUAACAAAUGCUAAACCUCUGAGCAUCAAAUCAAAUGAAUCUCCCUUUAUCCAUAACAUAACGUGACACACCACAUCUGUAGACAUUUCUUUAAACCAUGCAUGGUUUGGUUUUCACUUCAAUUACAAUUUCCAUAGAAUAACACUGCUUUGUUUAACCUAUAAUACACUAUUCUAUACAAAAUACCAAGUGAAAGACAUAAAACACAUCGUUGUGACAUUUACAUCAUUUUACAGCAUUCUUCCCCCAUUAUUACUUUACAUGUACUCAGAGUUACAAUACUCAAAAUGACCAUCUGAGAAAAAGGCUGAAAGAAUAUACUUUCUCACUGUUAAUGUUCUGGUUUUCCUCAAUGAAAGACGCAUGCUACAAAUGGUGUAUAAGGUGCUGGAUAGUUUCAUACCAAAUUGUAAGUUCUCCAUGAGAAAGACAUAUACUUGUAGGUGUGUGACUGUUUUGUUGUGGCUUGUGUUGUUGCAAGCAUAUAUUCUUUCAUGUUUAGUCGACAAUGGCUGUUUCCAUCACAGUGAAUGUUUGUGACUGUGUAGAAUCAUCAUACAACUCUCUACACAAUUCCAAAUGUAAACUGGAAUUAUGCACUUUAAAAAACUAGCUAUCUAGCUGACUGUAACCACUACACCUCAAUACAAGUCAACAGUGUAGGAACGUUCAGAUAUACUAAAUGCCCUAAUUCUACAUUAAGGCAAAUGGAAACAACUAAUAUCUUUUUGUAGAACAUUUUUUGUGACAAAACUGCUAAAAUGGAAAUAUUGUCAUGAGACAAUUAGCUAUAACCCUAGUUUAGUUGUGAUUCGAAAUAAAACUGCAAUGUGCAAAUGGAAGAGGAGAACUGUUUCCAAGACAUAAAGCCAUGGAACAUAGUACUGAAAUGUAUUCAUCUAGGAAAGAAUGAAAACAGGAAGUCACAGCUGUUGAAUUGACCUAAGGAGGAAGUCCUUUCAUUACACACAGUAACAUUUUCUGUAACAAAUAUCUCCCUGAACAUUACUGAAUAAAUAGAUUUGUCUAUAAAAGGCACUCAUUCAGUUGAAGCUCAUAUCGUUUUUCUAUAAUAACCAAUUAUUAAUCUCUUACUUUUUUAAACAAUUCUUAAAUGUUGCCUAACUCUUUGACACAGAGAGUAAAGAGAGAGUACGUAAAUGUAACUAGUGUAAAUAUAGCUCCCUGUCAGUUCUACCACUCCACAAUAAGUAUGUCUCAACCAUAGAAGAAGGCUUUGCAGCGAACAACAGCAGGAGCUUGCGUAACACUGGUGUCAUGCAUGCAACACGUGUGUAAUUGUAGGUACUAGGCAGGCCUAUAGGUUAAAGCUGGAACAUUCGCUAUGCGUGAUUGACAGACGUCAGUCUGUCUGGACCCAGUAGCAUCGUCCCUUCUGUACACUUGUCAGCUCACAGACUGUUCUCAUCAAAGUUGAUGACUCUGAUAUGCAAUGUGUUUUUUAAAAGUGGAAACCAGUAAUUCAAUUGUAUGUAGUAAAUGAUACCUUCCCUCUUAACACAUCAAGGUGUGUCCUCUUGGAAUUCCAGUUUGUUCCAUCUGUAUAAAAUCCAACUGAAUCAACAACAUGCAAAAUUGGAAACAUUUUAGUUUGCAAAAGUCAAAGGAAUCUGUUCACUUUUCCUCUGAAAGUCGAGUGUAUAAUCAGUUGUGCUACUGUUUCAUUAUUGGUUCUGUCUGGGGGAUUCUUUCAUUCAUCUGAUAUCUGAUUGGUACAUCAGUGUGUGUCAAGGAUUUCCCCUUCCUUUCCUCUAAAUAUCCAACUUCUACAUCCAGUGCAAAUAUUCCUUCUCUGAGCACCUUUUUCUCACGCAUUAUAGUAUUUUAAAACCCCCAAAACUACCACAGUAGUAUAGUAGAACAAAACAGCCUGUGGACACAGACAUUUUUUUUUUAUAUAAACAAAAAUUGUUCAAACUAAAAAUACUAUCUGACACCAAGCCCAACACACAUGCUCACCAUAAGUGGGGAUAGAUAACAUCAAUGCUAACGUCUUUAACAUCAAUGCUAACUUAUUUAGCAUCAAUGCUAACUUAUUUAGCAUCAAUGCUAACUUAUUUAGCGUCGAUGCUAACUUCUUUACUAUUCAACUCCGAGGCCUUUUUGGUUCAGACACAAGUCCCCAGUGAUUCAAGAACUCGCAUGUCCCUCCCUUUAGAAGUCCUGAGGCUAAAUGUCUUCUGUGUAGGUAAGUCUCAGUUUGUAUCUUUCAGUCAUAGGGUGAAUCUCAAUUGAGGAAAAGGUUAGGGAGGACGAACCUCAGAUCUAGUCCUCCAAAGCCUUGUGUAGACAGGUGAGGAUAGAAGACACGAGGAAUCAAGGAAAUACAACUGAGAUUCACCACCAGUCAUGUGGUCACUGUGGGCUUCAUCAAGUGAUUAAGACUUACAGUUGGGAUGUGAGCUGUUCCUCAAAGGCCUCAGCCUCAUAUUCAAAGGUUAGGAGAAACAACUGAUUGGAACAACACCAGUAAGAAACACUCAAGUCGGCACAGCAGCAUAGUGUAGUGGUUUGGAUGCUGAACUUUACCUGAGUGUGUGUGUGUGGAGCUGAGUCAGCUGGAUCACUGAACCCCUUUAACUGCCCCUAUACUAAUACCACUUUGUUCCACUGAAAACCAUCUAUUAUCCUGGAUGAGGACCAUAUUCCUCAUGGUCUCUUCCUGAACAUUGUUUACCAUCUUAACCAGGUGGAACACUGUGUCACAGCUACCUGCACAAACCACAGACAGGAAGGUGAGCUACAGUCAUCAUAAAGCUGAACCAGGGGAAAGACCAAGCGAAGCUAUGGUGCAGCGGUUGACUGGCUGGCUGGAUGAGCAGGGGUUAGAGGUCAGGGGUCAGUGAAGGGCGGGGCAGGCGGUAAGAGGGUUUCCCAGGUGUCUGUGUGUGCUGUGCUGCCGGAUCCAGCUCUACUUCUCUUCCUGUCACACAGCCAUCUCUGAACCACUGGACAACCCCAAGGCAUUGGCCUCCUCUGGCGUCAGACCGCUUUUCAGUGUUCUUCUCACUGUAGAGAGGCAGAGGGGCAGGGAGACAGAGAGAGAGACAGAGAGAUAGACAGAGAGAUAGACAGAGAGAAAGACAGAGAGAGAGACAGAGAGAGAGACAGAGAGAGAGAGACAGAGAGAGAGAUGGACAGACAGACAGCGAGAGAGACAGAGAGAGAGACAGAGAGAGAGAGAGAGAGAGACAGAGAGAGAGACAGAGAGAGAGAGGGAGAGACAGAGAGAGAGAGGGAGAGA